rnacentral:rRNA from 1 species
GCUGGCGGCGUGCCUAAUACAUGCAAGUCGAGCGGACAGAUGGGAGCUUGCUCCCUGAUGUUAGCGGCGGACGGGUGAGUAACACGUGGGUAACCUGCCUGUAAGACUGGGAUAACUCCGGGAAACCGGGGCUAAUACCGGAUGGUUGUUUGAACCGCAUGGUUCAGACAUAAAAGGUGGCUUCGGCUACCACUUACAGAUGGACCCGCGGCGCAUUAGCUAGUUGGUGAGGUAACGGCUCACCAAGGCGACGAUGCGUAGCCGACCUGAGAGGGUGAUCGGCCACACUGGGACUGAGACACGGCCCAGACUCCUACGGGAGGCAGCAGUAGGGAAUCUUCCGCAAUGGACGAAAGUCUGACGGAGCAACGCCGCGUGAGUGAUGAAGGUUUUCGGAUCGUAAAGCUCUGUUGUUAGGGAAGAACAAGUGCCGUUCAAAUAGGGCGGCACCUUGACGGUACCUAACCAGAAAGCCACGGCUAACUACGUGCCAGCAGCCGCGGUAAUACGUAGGUGGCAAGCGUUGUCCGGAAUUAUUGGGCGUAAAGGGCUCGCAGGCGGUUUCUUAAGUCUGAUGUGAAAGCCCCCGGCUCAACCGGGGAGGGUCAUUGGAAACUGGGGAACUUGAGUGCAGAAGAGGAGAGUGGAAUUCCACGUGUAGCGGUGAAAUGCGUAGAGAUGUGGAGGAACACCAGUGGCGAAGGCGACUCUCUGGUCUGUAACUGACGCUGAGGAGCGAAAGCGUGGGGAGCGAACAGGAUUAGAUACCCUGGUAGUCCACGCCGUAAACGAUGAGUGCUAAGUGUUAGGGGGUUUCCGCCCCUUAGUGCUGCAGCUAACGCAUUAAGCACUCCGCCUGGGGAGUACGGUCGCAAGACUGAAACUCAAAGGAAUUGACGGGGGGCCCGCACAAGCGGUGGAGCAUGUGGUUUAAUUCGAAGCAACGCGAAGAACCUUACCAGGUCUUGACAUCCUCUGACAAUCCUAGAGAUAGGACGUCCCCUUCGGGGGCAGAGUGACAGGUGGUGCAUGGGUUGUCGUCAGCUCGUGUCGUGAGAUGUGGGGUUAAGUCCCGCAACGAGCGCAACCCUUGAUCUUAGUUGCCAGCAUUCAGUUGGGCACUCUAAGGUAACUGCCGGUGACAAACCGGAGGAAGGUGGAAUUGACGUUAAAUUUCAU